UAGGGAAUCUUCCACAAUGGACGCAAGUCUGAUGAAGCAACGCCGCGUGAGUGAAGAAGGUUUUCGGACCGUAAAGCUCUGUUGUUGGUGAAGAAGGAUAGAGGUAGUAACUGGCCUUUAUUUGACGGUAAUCAACCAGAAAGUCACGGCUAACUACGUGCCAGCAGCCGCGGUAAUACGUAGGUGGCAAGCGUUGUCCGGAUUUAUUGGGCGUAAAGCGAGCGCAGGCGGAAGAAUAAGUCUGAUGUGAAAGCCCUCGGCUUAACCGAGGAAUUGCAUCGGAAACUGUUUUUCUUGAGUGCAGAAGAG
rnacentral:rRNA from 1 species